rnacentral:rRNA from 1 species
GACCCUCCCGGCCUCCCGCCCCCGGGCGGGUCGGCGCCCGCCGGAGGAUAACCAAACUCUGAUUUAACGACGUUUCUUCUGAGUGGUACAAGCAAAUAAUCAAAACUUUUAACAACGGAUCUCUUGGUUCUGGCAUCGAUGAAGAACGCAGCGAAAUGCGAUAAGUAAUGUGAAUUGCAGAAUUCAGUGAAUCAUCGAAUCUUUGAACGCACAUUGCGCCCGCCAGCAUUCUGGCGGGCAUGCCUGUUCGAGCGUCAUUUCAACCCUCAAGCUCUGCUUGGUGUUGGGGCCCUACAGCUGAUGUAGGCCCUCAAAGGUAGUGGCGGACCCUCCCGGAGCCUCCUUUGCGUAGUAACUUUACGUCUCGCACUGGGAUCCGGAGGGACUCUUGCCGUAAAACCCCCCAAUUUUCCAAAGGUUGACCUCGGAUCAGGUAGGAAUACCCGCUGAACUUAAG